UUGACAGAUCCCUUCCCGAAGUUGCUGAACACACUUCACACAUUCAAACUUUGCUGCGGUUUGUAUCAUGUGUCACAGUCAGAGUCCCAUUUCACUUGUUAAGAGCCUAAUAUAUAAAUCUUUAUUUUUGUUUUUGUUAUUUUGUUUUGGUUUUGGGGUGUGAAAUCAACAUUUCUACACAGAGGGACCUCCACAGUGGAUGAAAUUUAGCCCCGACCUCUGACCUUUGGGUUCAGCGUUUGUCUCCAGUCCAGUGACCACAAACAACUCCUGGAUUGCUGUAAAUGUCAGUGCAGCGGCGUCUCCGCCCUCUCCCCUGUGAACCAUAGGGCUGCACUCAACCUGCACUAAUAGGACACUUUCAUGAGAGCUCCAUUAUCAGUUAGGCUGUCUUUGAUAUCUCAGGUUUCCUGCUUAUGAUGCCACGACAAAACUGAACGACUGUCAUCAAACAAACGGCAAUAAAGGUGUCAGCUGUAGCCUCAGAUUGAGAUGGAUGGAUCUCUGGAGUCUGCUCCCUGGCCCUCCACAGACGCUCUAUCUCUGCACAACACACAGAUGCAACAGGUUAAAGGGCAGAUUCCAGAUUUCCGGAGUAACUUACCCGCUGUGGAUAUUCAGAUCCUCAAGAAGAAGUAGAAACAAGACAAUGUAAAAAUACCCCACUGCAAGUAAAAGUACUUUAGAUGAUAUCACACAGCUAACUGUGACAAGAUUCCCAAAUGGCUCUCCUUUACAGUGAAACAUGUCAUCUGACCAUGUCGCCCCGGCUAGACCCAAAUAUUGUGCAUUGUUGG